rnacentral:lncRNA from 1 species
AUUACAAACAACUUGUUUUAUUAGUGAUUAGACGGAAGUUCACAAUGAAAUAAAAUUUAUAAGCUUUUAUAAUGUGUACGUAUACAUGUGUGGUUAACAAUCGCGCUCAGAACAAUGAUUCUCGAUUAUUCAGAACAAUAUUCUGAUAGAGGAAGGUCUAUUGACGGAAAGGCACGAGGUGAGGGGGAAGAUUGCGAUGAGGAUACUUCUGAAGGAGAGGGAGAACGAAUAGGUAUGAGGCCACGGAGUAAGGCCGCGUGCCCCCUCAUAGAGGUGAGGUUAGAGGAGAAGAUAUCGGGGAUGGGCUCCAAGGUAGAGGAAAGCUUGUGGCAGAACGGUCAUCUACUGGACUCAAGGAUGUUGGAGAGUACGAGAUAGGAGGAGUUACUGGGGGAAAGUCAGGAAGGAACAUGAGAGGAGAAUGCGCCGAUCUUAAAAUGUUUGAUUCGAUAUGACAGAUAACGUAAUCUGGACCUUGUAAUACAAAUACUAAAGAAGCGAUCUCAAAAUCCUCGCGGUUUGCACAAUUUUCCGUGGUGGUUAUUUCUGACUGUGAUUGAGAAGAUUGAGCUACUGAAAUCGGAUUUCACAAUUAAGGAGGGAUGCCAAGGGGGAUAGGGAAAAGAAAGAAAAAGGGAGGAAAAGAAAAGAGAGAGAAGAAAAGAUAAAAAAAUAAAAAGAAAGGGGUCACUCUGGCAAAAUAAAAUAUAAAUAACUUACUGCUGGUUCUAUGAUCUUAGUCGACAAUGAAAAGUGUAAUUGCUGCGUGUCUGUGAGGACCCAAGUUUUGCGCUAAGAACAGGAAGUUGGUUUCGGCAGGAUCGCUCGCAAUGCCCCAAGAACGCAUGAGAUCGUUGCACAAAAUAAUUAACAACUGAAGAACUCUGAUCUACCUAAGUCACUAGUAAGUUUGGUUAUUAAGAGACCCUGAAGGGCUGUUGAAGAGAGGACUCUGUCCUGGCUGCGGGUCGGUCGAAAGGAGAAGUAGAAGUGGCAUAGCCUUUUCAUUUUACUAAAAACGUCACCUCGGUCGAGAGGGUGAGGUUUUAGAAGUUCCAAAGUUUAUGUCCAAAUAUGGGUAUAGGAUUUUGUUACAAAACUUUUCGGAAGUGGGGUUUUAGGGAAGCCUGAGAUAAAUAUGGUAAAAGAUCGGGUAUCUAUGGCAGUAAAAGACUUCAAGGUUCCGCUAGGGUGAGUGAGAGAUUAUGCGCAAUAAAAAUUUAUGAAUAACGUGGAAACGCAUGGGUUUCCGAAGAUCAAAGGUUAGUAAUAUCAUAUAACAGCAUAAAAGAUUGUCUGGUCGGUCCGUCUUCAAAGAAAAUUGUUGCUCCGGACAGGAAGUUAUUCAAGGUUAUUUGGAGAGGAGAUACAUGACUAAAAUAACUCGGCGGAUCUUUCUGACGGAAAUAGGGAAAUAGGGAAUCCGGUGAUUAAAGCAAAGAGAAAAAAAAGAAAUCCGUGUGUGUGAUGUCACUGUUUUCGAAGGGUCGCGGAACAUGAACAUUUGGUCGUAUAAUAUAAAAUACAAUCCGCCCUAUUUGAUAACGGAUUUAGGAUAUGGGAAGUCCGCAGGACGUAACAACGGCGAGUUACAAAAUAAGAAAUUACUUAGGCGGAAAAAUCUCCACAGUACUGCUACAUAAGAUGAUAUAAUAACAUAAUCGAUGUAAAGUAUAAGGCGACAUAACGGAGCCGCUUCGCAAACAUAAUUGAGGAAACGCUUUAUGCGGCAUAACGGGUUGCGACGAAAUAGGUUUUGUUCGCGCAGCGCCGUGGUAGUGCGAAGGGAAGCUGAUUUGGCUACCACGUCAAUGAAAAUGACUCGCAUGUUCGGAGGUGGACCCAGGCUGCCCGCCAUGGCAAUAUACAGCUUUCCUUUGGCUCUGCAUUGGUCGAAGUUGGCUCACAUGAUGUUAGGAAUAAUCGAUUAAUAAAUCUGAGGCCUGUGUUGAGGUGUGCGAGGCAUGUGUCCCGGCGGAUCGCUGCUCUCAGAGUGGUCGCUUCCUCGUAAUCGACUGGCAAUGCGCACAACUGGACGAUGGGCCGCUUAUAUUCCGCGCGAGCCAUCUUGACGGUGACGACGCACGUAAGGCCGUUGGCCCGAGGGAAGCACUGGAUCGUUCCAACUCCCACUUGCACGGGGGUCGAGUCGGAGUGCGGAGGAGGACGAGCUGUCCGAGUUUUAUAGCUGGCUCGAGGUUUCGCCAUUUCGCGCGCUGUUGUAGCGUGUUGACAUAAUCGGUCUGCCAAACUUUCCAAAAUCGCUCGGUCAUCUGGCGGACGAGCUGCCAACGAGUAAGUCGAUGCUCGUUUACGUCGAGUAAACUCGGCUCCGGGGCGGUUGUCAGCGCGGACCCGCUUAAAAAAUGACCCGGAGUCAAGAGUUCGUAUCAAUCAUCGAGAGUAUCGGAUAUCGGCGCAAGAGGAUGCGAAUUGAGACACGCCUCGAUUUUGCAGAGCAGCGUGGUAAGCUCUUCAAAAGUAAGGGUAUGAGUUCCGAGAGUGCGAUGUAGAUGAUGUUUGACACUGCGGACGCCGGCAAAGUGUGGAGCGGCCGGCGGAAUAAAGUGCCAUGCAAUACGGUCGGUCGCGAUGACAUUGAGGGUCGCGAAUAACUGCUUUAUAUGCGGCCGCGAGUUCUUUAUCGGCGCCGACGAAUGUCGUCCCAUUGCCUGAAUGGAGGGCCUGCGGAAGCCUACGACGCGAGCGAAAGCGACUAAACGCGAUCAGAGCGGGAAUUGAGUAAUCGGGAACCAACUCCAAAUGAAUCGCCUGGGUGGCGAAGCAAACAAACAACGCGAGAUACGCCUUCCGCGAGGUGAUCCCACGACCGGCGGAAGCGCGCACCUGCAUGGGGCCUAGUCGACUCCGCAGUGCAAGAAACAUCUUGUUGGAGUGGAAACUCGCACGGCGGGAAGAUCGCUCAUUCGUUGAGACGGAAUCGCUGUCCAUUCGCGUGUACAUGCGACGCAUCGAUAAAUGACCGCUUUAACGAUACUUCGGGCGCGGACGAUCCAAAAGUCGCGGUGCAACGUACUCAAGGUGAGCUACGGUCCUGCAUGCAGGGCUCUCAGGUGAGCGUGCUCUACGAUGCGGUCGACCACUGAGUGCGAGCUAAGCAGAAUCAGAGCUAAGCAGAAAGCGGAUUUGAUAAGGAACCGGCGCGUUCUUAAUUCGCCCGCCGACACGAAGCUGUCGCGGUCCAAGAAUAGACAGAGAGAAAGAAUAGGACCUUUCGGCGACAGAUUACUUUUGAAUAUAAGGGCGCAAAUUUCCUUUGAAAAUAGUUCGAGCUGCAUUUGUUUGAUCCAAAACAGACGAGCGCGAUCACACUCAGCCGCUGUGAGAGCGCGGCCGGACGCGUCAUUCUUCGGAGCGUCGUUCAAAUCGCAACGACAUCGAGAGAAGAAUCUAAAAAGAUAGGCGGUUACGCUUCGGCCACGACGAGAAACGUAAAGCAAUGUCGAACGGAUGUUGCGCGCGGUGCAGUACAAUGACACGCUGCAAUUUUCUCUUCGAGAGGAGCGCUUGAUGGAAGACUUGACUCAUUGGGAGGCCAAUCUUUCGAGGGAUCGCACAGCCACCGCGGCCCCCGCCACCACAAUGAGUGAUCGCGAAUUUCGUCCCCAAGGAGGCCUCGCGAUGCACAAUCGGCGGGGUUAUCAUUUGUAAGUACGUAUCGCCAUGAGACAUUGGGCACCUGUGUUUGUACAAAGGCCACGCGGUUGGCGACGAACGUCUUCCACCGGGACGGGUGCUGUCUGAGCCAAGCGAGUACAAUCUGCGAGUCCGUCCAGCAAACGCACGGAACAUCGGGAAACCCGGACGAUCUGCGAACGAAAGCGAGCAAUCGAGCGAGAAGCACCGCGGAUGACAAUUCGAGCCGAGGGAUACUGAGCGGAGUCAGAGACGAAACUCGCGAUUUCCCGGCGAGCAAGUUGUGUCCGCGAGCGGAUCGGCUCUCGUCUGGAAGGACCGAUGUUGGAGUUAUCGACGCUCAUAUUGUCACGCCUCACGUCCUGCCUUGCAGUCUCGGGCACUCCGUGGCCAUACAUCAGUGGCCUUAAACUCGCGGACUCAGGAUACGCGGGCUGGGAUCUGGUGGACCUACUACUUGACAUCAAGGUUUUUGUCCGCAUCGUCAACGACAUCCUGAGGAGGGGUGAUUCGGACGAACCCAUCGCACAGAGGACAUCGCUGGGAUGAAUUCUGUCUGGGAGCGUCGGAACAUCGAAGUAAAGGCGAGUAACGAACUCGCUUCACUGCUCGAUCGACGAGGAUUUGUCGGUGAUCGUCUGCCGGGGAGCAGGAGGAGGCUCCUCGUGGUUCACUGCCAAUAUCAUCUGAGGAGCAGCGAUGUCAGAAGUACUUCGCUGCCAUAUAUUCUUGACGAGAGGAUGGGAGAUAUACCGUGCGUGUGUGGAGACUGACCGACGACGAAGAACCCAGAUCCCCUCUAGGAGCGGCCACCUUGCGGGACGAAGUCGAUGACAUUCUCACCGGGGCUUCUACGAUGCGCGUAGUCUUGAAGAUGCGCUGUCAGCUGGAAGCGGUAUGCACGGCAAGCGGGUUACCGCCACGAAAAUGGACAAUUAACCACGAACAGCUGAUUGCGUCUCCACACACAUUGGUCAGCGAUGCGGAUGCUCCAGACGAUGGAGGGACGUUUCCGGAAGGAUCCGACAUUCCAUCAACUCUACGACGAUUUCUUGUCAGAAUAUGAGGUCUCGGUCACAUGUCGGCUGAUGUUUUCCGGUCGGAGUCGGGAUGCUUCCUGCUACAUCAUGGCGUGCUCAAGCAGUCCGGCACGUCCAUCAAGUUGCGAAUCGUUUUCAACGGCUCUCAGAAAAUAUGUGAAGAACAUUUGUUCAACGAUUGAUUCUUGGUGGGACUAAGCUUGGCGGGUCUCUUAAUGCACUUAAUGUGACGUUAUCGCUAUGUCUUCGUGGCCGACAUGGAGAAAAUGUACUGGCAGAUCUUGGUACACGAGGAGGACUGCGAUCUUCAGAGGAUUCUGUAGCGUAAGGAGGGAAAAAUUCAGGCAUACCGCCUGAACACCGUCACCUGUGGCCUAGCUUACGCGCCAUUAUUGGCCAUCCAGACGCUGUGGAGACUGACCGACGACGAAGAACCCAGAUCCCCUCUAGGAGCGGCCACCUUGCGGGACGAAGUCGAUGACAUUCUCAUCGGGGCUUCUACGAUGCGCGUAGUCUUGAAGAUGCGCUGUCAGCUGGAAGCGGUAUGCACGGCAAGCGGGUUACCGCCACGAAAAUGGACAACUAAUCACGAACAGCUGAUUGCGGACUUUCCGGCGGACGAUGAGCGAUAUACAGUGUUCGGGCCUCGCGAGUUGCAGAGAGUCACUCCACUUUGAACUUGGAGUGGAGGCCGAGCGACGAUCCCUUCUCCUUCGUAAUUCGACCAUUCGAGUAAGGCGUUAUCACGAAGCGUAUCAUCUUAUUGCAGACUUCUCGACUCUUUGAUCCGCCAGGAUGUAUAUUCCGUCAUUGUGAGGGCUAAGUGCAUCCAGACGACGUGGCUUCCUCUCCUACGCGAACUUCACAUCCCACAAUGGAUGGGUGCCGAGCUAUCGACUUGCAUAGCGUAGCUCCAUAGCUUCGCUGACGCCUCAGAGCUCAUAUACGCUGCGGUGCUCUAUCUGAGGAUGAUAGUGGAGAACAACGUGGAGAACUUGCUAGAAGAGAUGCUCUUGGCACAAGUCGAAGCAUGCUUAAAUUCAUGACCACUGCAAGCGCUGAUCCGGACGACUUCGCUGCGUUCACUCCCGUCCAUUUCUUGGUCGACGAGCCGUUAUGCGCUUUGUCAGAGCCUUCGCUGGAGCAGGUACCGACGGGAAAGUUAGACCAGUAACAAUUGGUACAGCAGAUGCGAGAUCACCUUUGGCAACGUUGAUCGCAGGAGUGUGUCACCAGCUUGAUCCCUAGCAGCAAGUGGCACACCGAGGCGCAGAAACUCAAGGUCGGCCGCUACAAAUGGCCGCUCGCUCGAAUCAUCAAGUUGCACUCUGGAUAUGGAGGACAAACUCGGGUGAUAAUGGUACGCACGGCGGUAUCCCAUUUCUCGAAAUCGGUCGUGAAAAUUGUGCCGCUUCCCGCGACCUGUUCAGUAUUGGAAUGAAAAAAUUCGGUUCUUCUCAUUCAUUUGCGAACGAUCGGAAUAAUUAGCGAGAUAUCGUGCAGUCGAGCUUUAUUCAUUGCAUUUUCUCUUUUGCGUAUCACUUUUCUUUCUUUUACUUUUCUCGGCGGUUUUAUCUUUUUUUUUUACUUUAUCGUUUGCGUUAGCUUUUGCGUCGCGUCAUUUGCCGCAUUAUUCACACUUGCAUUUGACUUGGUUUUUUCUUAUAGCGUUUCCGCUUAUAGCGUUCGUCUACCAUGUACUUAUAAGGAAGUUUUUGCAAUACACUCAGAUAUGUGUUACGUCCUAGAGGAGGAGCGCAACUUUUCCGUUCACGGUAAAAGCGAACCUCGUUCGUACAUGCGUGUCAGGGAACGGGUCAGGAACCCGACGGGUCCCUUUACUCGCUCGCUGACAUACGACGAGCGGUCCGUUUUUCGGUCAGGGAUGCGAAUCCCUUUACCGGGAAUAGGACCAUGAGUCGACUGUUGGAAGGUGGGGCGAUUUUGAAAUUAAUUAAUGGAAAAUUAGAUAUUUAACAAAUUUAUUAAAAUAAGGAUAACAAACAGAAUGGUACAACAGCGCGAUUUAGAAGGUGGCGAUUUACAGUGAUUGUAUGCGUAUGUAUGUCUGUAUGUGUGAGAAGAAAGAAAAGAAGAGAGAACAAGGAAAGAGAAGGAAUACGAAUAGAGUUAGUCGGGUGAAGGGGAACGAGAGCGAUCAGGUGAAUUUAGAGGAAUGAAGUUAGUUCAGAGAAAGAAACAGGGGAAUAGGAUAUCGAAGGGAUAUCGAAGGGGUAGAAGGAGUGGACGCGCGUGUAGGAGAAGAGGAAGGAGUACCCGGGGGAAAAUGAGAGAGAAGGUAAGGGGGUAGGAGCGUAGGAUCUGGGUGGUAAUCGGUUCCUAGCGCUAUGUUAACUAUCGCUCGGAGAUAGUGGACUCGAAAUGCUAGUUGGUCGGGAUCUCUGAUGUCAAAAAUCGACUCGAGCGUUUGGAAAAUGCUGUCGAUGGUUAUCCCAGUAUUGUAACAAUAACCCACUAAAACCGGAUUCCAAUAAUAAAGGGAAUUAAUAAAAUGGUGAAAGGAAGGGUGAUAAUAAAGAAAGUAAAACUUAUUGCUGGUUCCAAUGCAGAGAGAGGAAGAGCGAGAGCAACCCAAAGAAAAUGCUGCUGAUCUGCGUGGGUGUGCAACGCUGGCUCUGUCGCUCUCGGAUUUCCAAUUCGGUAACGGUUAGGUUAGAUUACACGCAACUACGUUUUUCUUUUAGGCAGCAGAUAAUAAUUAAACUGUGAAAGACGUACAAGACCAACUCCACGUCUGAAUGCCUGAGUGUCAAGCGACAAAAGAAAAGAUAUCUGGAUGUCGAACUUGUGGUUCUAAUUCGGGUGCUGGUCAGGCGAAUAAUGUGUUAGCUUUUUCAUUUUACUCAAAACGUCACCUCGGUUGAGAGGAUGGGAUUGUGGAAAUUGCGUCAGGGAUCUAAGGUCCAUGUCUAUCUAUUAGAACUUUGUUGUUAACAUUUUCGGAGGUAGGAUUUUGGAGUUGUAUUGUAACAUCUCUAAGAUAAUUGUCACGACGGGACGUGGAAAAGUUGUGAGUUCGUGAGGAUUAACGAAAUCAAAUAUCGACUGGUCAGUCCGGAAAGUGACUCAGUGGGUUUUUCCUGACAAACAACUAGAGGACUUUGGUCUAGGGGGAGAUAAAAAAAGGAAAUCGGUAUGUGAUGUCAUCGUGCUCGAAAAGUUGCGGAACAUGCUCGUUGAAUAUAACAUUUAAAGUGUAGUAAGCAACAUAAAAUCAUUACGCUCUAUUUAUAAAAGGAUCUAGAAUACGCGGAGUCCGCAGGAUGUAACAUAUGGUAAACGUUAAAUCGUGAACAUUAUUCGCUCAAAAAUAACGUCGACAUGUACGCGACCAAUAGCAAUCACAAU